GGCUUGACGUAGAUUUAAAGGCGCCGAAAGAAAAGAAAAAGAGACGAUCCCUCCCAACCUUCUGCGCCGCUGCGUCACGCCUGGAGAACGUCACAGGCGUCACGCGGUCCUAAACCAAAGCCGUCCUGCGCGAGAGACUUGGCUGAUGUCACGUUGGGAACUGAGGACGGCGUUGACUCGUCCUUUCUCUCGCAUCGCGCGUUCGGGGAAGGCGUGGCUUGUUGUUGAGGCCCGUGAAGGUGGGGGCUUGGAGCAGGUGGCCGGAUGAGGUCGGAAUUAUUUAGCCCCUCCCCUUCUCCCCAAACCCGCCCUGGCAUAUUGAACACUUCAGCUCCCAUGAUGCUGUGCUGAACAGGAAUUAUGGUUCCUUGAACUCCUAACUCAUCCGAAGAGACAGGCGUGAGAUGGCAGGUCUGUCACAUAAUUUUUUAAAAAGAGGGAAAAGUCGAAGGUAGUUCUCAGAGCUAAUCCGCUAAAUCGCCCUCACCAGUGCAGUCUUACCUGGUUCACUCAGAAUUUAGCCAAUGGGAUUUAUUCCCAGGAACUAUGAAAUUCAGAAGCCACAUCGCAUGGAAGAAAUGUUUCCUGGGUUGGAAGAGCAAGGAAAAAGAGAUGGUCUUCAUUAUUCCCUUCCAGGGAUAAUGGGUUAGGGUUUCUUAAAGGCAUUUGAUUGCUUUUGGUCUUGUCCCAAUUCAGCUAAAGUAAUUUUGUAUCUUGCUGACUGUACAAUACUGAUAAAAGAUAUUCUCAACAUGCUCAAAGACAUGAUAGGCAAGAGCCACAUUACUCUAGUGUGGCAAAGAAUCACGUAGCAUCUUUUCUGAGUAUAGAAUUUUAUUGAAGCUCUCUUACAUCUUUCAAUCAAAAUCAGUUCUAUAGAUGAAAGUGCUACCAGAUUUUUAUGGAACAUGUUCAAAGUAUCAUUUGCAUGUUCUGAGUCACACUACUUAAACAUUGUAGGUAAUGAAGCCUUGCACAAAUGUAAAUUAUAACUAGUUUAUAUUGUAUUUUCUGUAAAUCUGAGUGAAUGUUACACAAAAUCGCAUCUUUGCAUGUGUUUAGUCUGGAAUAAUGUCUGUAAGUUAAAAGGUGCCUAAUUCUGGGAACAGAAUAGGUUAAAACUG